rnacentral:rRNA from 1 species
GACGAACGCUGGCGGCGUGCUUAACACAUGCAAGUCGAACGGAAAGGCCCUGCUUCUUUGGGGUGUUCGAGUUGCUAACGGGUGAGUAACUCGUGCGUAAUCUGCCUUUGCUUUUGGGAUAACUUCCGGAAACUGGGGCUAAUUCCUGCUAGGUGCUCCUUCUUCAUGGUGUGGGUUGGAAAGUUUCGGCGGCUGGGGAUUGACUCGUGGCUUUUCAGCUUGUUGGUGGGGUAGUGGCUUACCAAGGCUUGGACGGGUAGCCGGCCUGAGAGGGUGACCGGCCACAUUGGGACUGGGAUACGGGCAGUACUGAUACGGGAGGAAGCGAUGAGGAAUAUUGCAAGAUGGGCGGAAGCCUGAAGCAGCAACGCCGCGUGGGAGAGGACGGCCUUCGGGGUGUAAACCGCUUUCGCCGGUGAGUAAGAGUGAGUGACGGUAAUGGGUAAAGAAGCAACGGCUAACUACGUG